GUGCUUGCUUCAGCAGCAUAUAUACUAAAAAAAAUUGGAAUGAUACAUAGAGGAUUAGGCUGGCCCCUGUGCAAGGAUGUCAUGCAAAUUCGUGAAGCUUUCCAUAUUUUG
ensembl:snRNA U6 U6 spliceosomal RNA